AUUGAUCACACGUAUGAAAAAAACAACGUUGUUACACACUUACACGUCAUAAUAAUACAGUUGCAGGAAAUUGCCUAAAACACAUUCAUUAAUACGUACAUUUUCUGACGCUUGCAGUCCGGUGAAAUUGCAAUUCGCCCUAGCGAUAAUUAAGGUCCGCGGACUAACAUCUUCUUCGGUGUGUAUCGAAUUGAGUGAUUUUCUCAUUAUACGUUCGCUUAGCUCUGGUGGGAUCUCCCGGAAACUCCCAACGUACUUUGUUACCAGCAAACGAUAGAACUUUAAACAUAGUGUAAAUAGCUAUGAUGUAAUGCACCAAUAACAUUUUCUUAGCCGAACACGUUAAUACAUAAGUAUAAAUAUCUAUUAUAGAUUUACAAUCUAAACAUAUUAUUGAAUUGUAAUAUAAUUUAUAUAAAUAUUUUUAAUCGCCGAGUAACUCCACUCUAUAGUGUUUCCUCGUCCCACUUGUUGCUACAUUUUAUUAAUCUUCUGUUGCACCCUGUUCGUGCAUGGUGGCAAAAUAUGAUACCACUGAAUUGGAACACUUGUAUUUUUUUUAAAUAUUGCACGUAGUGUCAUACGAUACCAC